rnacentral:rRNA from 1 species
AAAAACAUCGCCUCUUGAAACUAUAGGAGGUUCAUCCUGCCCAGUGAAUUAUUUUCAACGGCCGCGGUAUCCUGACCGUGCGAAGGUAGCAUAAUCAUUUGCCUUUUAAUUGGAGGCUAGAAUGAAUGGACAAACAUGAAUGAUACUGUCUCUUACGGCCCCUAUAAAAACUAGAAUUCAGGUGAAGAUACCUGAAUUAUAAUAAAGGACAAGAAGACCCUAUAGAGCUUUAUUAGAUAAGGACAAUGCACCCCCACUAAUUUGGUUGGGACAACCUAAAGACAUAACUACCUCUUUAAAUACUCUUCUAAACUAACCCUAAAAAGUAAAUGAAACAAGCUACCUUAGGGAUAACAGGCUAAUCUUAUUAGAGAGACCACAUUGACAAUAAGGAUUGGCACCUCGAUGUUGGCUUAGUGUAACUAUUAGACGCAGCCGUCUAAAAUAGUCGGUUUGUUCAACCGUUAAAUCACUACAUGA